UAAUCUUAAAAAAUUAAAUUUUUAUUAUAUAAUAAUGAUAAAUUCAUUUAUAUUUGAAAUAUAUUUCAUUCUGAAUGAAUCAUUUCAUUCUGAAUGAAUCAUAUUUGAAAUUUAUGAUAAAUAUAAAAAAAUACUUGAUCUUGAAAUAUACGCAACAGCAAGCACCUUAAGGAGGUUUCGCAUUUACUUACGCAGUGCAUAGUUCCUGGUUUUUAGAAAACUUUGAUAUAUAGUUAUACUCUUUAAAAUGCAUUACGUGGACCAACAAACUAAAAACGCACGUAUAAAGUAUUGUAUGCUUUGUUUUCUGUGGGACAGAUUUCUUCUAAAAUGUGAAAUAACAUACGGAUUCCGGUAUACAGUUAUAGAAUGCAGGGUAAGGAUGUAUACAGUCGAUAUAUAUGUAUGUAUAUAUUCACGUAUAUACACGCGCGUACAUAUAUUCAUAUAAAUAUAUAUUCACACUCUAGCUAACGCCUACGAAAACCAUUUAUAUAUAAUGUGGAAUGACGUACGAACUUAAGUAAAUAUAUAUAUGUGUAUACGAUUUCAAAAACUAGACGAUCAAUCCUAUCAGUGCUUGCUGUUGUUAGCUGCUGACUAACCAAGAUAAAAAAAAAUUAAAUGAAAUGAAAGAAAAAAAAACUUUAAAAGCAGUAGAUAUGUCAAAAUUCUGUUUAAUUUAUUACAUCCAAAAUUUUCAUCAUCGCAUCUAUUUCAUUUAACUAACUUUCUUAAAAGCUUUCUGUCGGUAUAAUAAAAGUUGUCCACAAUGUGCCGAAUGGUUUUAGCGACCCUCCCCCUCCCCACCAGAGAGCGCUCUUAAAUUACUUAAGGUUAACCGAAAUGCUGUCAAAGCCAAUUAUUUUUGUAUGUUUUCAUAAAUUGCUUAAAAAAGGUUGUUCUUCAAAAACUUUCGCCUUUCAAAACAUUUUAAAGCCUUUCAACUUUACUUCAAAAAAAAAGCAAUUUUUUUUAUUUAUCUUUAUGUCUAUCAAGUUUAACAAGAAAGAAAAAGAACAAAUUUUUGUAGGUUAUAAUAUUACGAAACAUUUUAACUAAACCAAAAGAACAAAAAACAAAAAACUAAAUCAAUAAAUAAAUAAAGCGAAAUAAAUAGCGAAAAAUAUAAGAUAUCGUGAAAAUUUUCUAUCUCUUGCUUAUUUAAAUAAUUUUAUUUGCUUUUCUCUCGCUCGCUCCACUAUUCUACUUUUAUUUGAAUUACAAAAAAGAACCACCUACGCGUGAAAUAAUCGAACUAAAAGAGACUAAGAAGAAAAACAGCAAAAGAAAAGAAUUAUGUUCGGCUUGGAUCGAAUCCUGUGAUACUCAACAUUGGCUUGCUUUUGCACUUUUGCCGGGUUUUCUCUAACAUCUGCUUUUUUUGCUAACGUAACAAGCGUGAACAAGUUAAGGUUGUGUGGCGUUAUACUUCUAUAAGCGUAAAAUGUUUAUUAAUGUUAUAAAUAUGUUUUGGCUGAUCAUAUAUCAUAACUAGAAGCUGACAUAUUUUGAAGCCUUUACGGUAGUAUACUUAGAGGCUAUCUUAUUCUGAUAAGUAGAGAAAAUGAUGUAAGGUACUUGAAGAUCGUGCUCAUGAUAAUAAAAUUAGAAAAGUAAUGAGCAUACGGAAAUAUAAUUUUUCCAUUUCAUUAAUAGUUGGCUCGCUAGCAUUGAAGAGACGAAAGGAUCUUUUAUAUUAAUGCUCAGUUUCUCUCUCCUUAUAGGAUAACUUAUGAACCUUAGAGGGUCUGGAUUAACCGAUCUUUAAACAUCAAUAGGAGAAGGAUUUUAAGACAAGUUUGGCUUUUCUGAAGAAUGUUCUGAACUUUUUCGCUACCAACCGCUGCAUAUACUUAACACAGGCAUUGCUUACCACAGCCCGACUUCACGUAUAUGCUUAGCCCAAAAACAAUAACGAAAUAAAGCAAAAAUAUUAAGAGAACGCAUACGAAAAAGCGAGAAGUCAAGCGUCGUUUAUUAAUAAACCAAAAUACGAAAUAUAGUUCAUAAAGAUUAAACAGACAAUAUCGCUUUCUUUGUAUAUAUAAAAAAAAAAUUAUACAUAUAUACAUAUAAAAUCUUACGUAAAUUUCCCGUAUAUAUAUAUAGAUAUAUAUACAUAUAACGAAAUUUGAAAUCUGUAAAAAAUCUUUAAACGAGAACAAUCAUCAUUAUCAGCAACGUUAGCUGUGGAGGAACAUAUCUCUUGCUUCUAUAUAUCAAAAUAUUUGAAAACAUUUCAAGAGCCCUACGGUACAGUUCGGCAACCCCCACUUGGAGUCCGGUCUCUCCGCCUUGGAAGGGUCAGCCGGCGGUACGCGUAUUGACCUGCUACCGAUCGACUUAGUUGAUUUAGCGUACUCCGAUCCGAUCGUAUGUGACAAGGGUCAGGAUUUAUUAGAUGAUUAUCCCUGCGUAAGGAAGAGGAGUUAAUGGAAAGUUUGCUGAGGUAGUAAAGAGCUCAAUAAUAACUACUGCUGCAAGUUCUGGCGAAUUGGGGCCCUCGACCGUGGCAGCAUCGCUGGAUGCAUCAGCCAGCGUGACACCUUUAGCUGAGCCGGAUGGUCCCCACAAUGCUGAUACUGCCUCUGUAUCAGUGUAAGGGGCCAAGGAGCAGAUGAAGGAGCAGACGAAAGACUGUGUGCCUACUGUAGAGGUGUCACCAAAUACUUCGGGGGUGGACCGCCGCUGAUUUGCAUCCCCAUCAAUUGGAGGUGGUACCUCCAAGAAAAUCUAUUUUUAUAUCACAGAGUCUCCGUGGUCUUAGUACGAAACUAUGCAAUGUGUUUGUAAACGCUGACAAUUCCGAUUAUCUGGUGGUAGCAUAUACAGAAACCUGUCUUAGGCCGGGGAUAUUUGACGGGAAGAUUUUUUGGCUGGAAAUUGAUAUAUUUAGGUGUGACACACUGCACAAUACUGGUGAGGGUGAUUGCGGUUAAUCGUAGGGGGGGAAUAUUUUGAAGUUUCUCUCAUAUAACCAUUCCUGCGAAAAUUAAAUCUUUAUGUCCUAAAAAGAUACAAUUUUCAAUCUUUUUUGUUGAAAAUUAGCUUAUUAAGUUGAUAAAAAAGUCAACCUUACCGAAUUUCGAUUACGUAGGUCUAUGUUUUAGAUCCCAACAAAGGCAGACGUUAAGUAUAGAAAGGAAAAAGCAUUAAUUUUAUUAUUAAAACUUAAAAAAAAGAUUUUUAUUUUGCUUGCCGAAACGAAAAAACGCACGAAAGAAUUAAUCAGAAAAAAUGCAAUGAACAAGCAAUAGUUGGUUAUUAUAAAAAACAUUUAUGUUUGUCUUUUU